rnacentral:rRNA from 1 species
AUUGAACGCUGGCGGCAGGCUUAACACAUGCAAGUCGAGCGGGGUGAUGGUGCUUGCACUAUCACUUAGCGGCGGACGGGUGAGUAAUGCUUAGGAAUCUGCCUAUUAGUGGGGGACAACAUCUCGAAAGGGAUGCUAAUACCGCAUACGUCCUACGGGAGAAAGCAGGGGAUCACUUGUGACCUUGCGCUAAUAGAUGAGCCUAAGUCGGAUUAGCUGGUUGGUGGGGUAAAGGCCUACCAAGGCGACGAUCUGUAGCGGGUCUGAGAGGAUGAUCCGCCACACUGGGACUGAGACACGGCCCAGACUCCUACGGGAGGCAGCAGUGGGGAAUAUUGGACAAUGGGGGGAACCCUGAUCCAGCCAUGCCGCGUGUGUAAAGAAGGCCUUAUGGUUGUAAAGCACUUUAAGCGAGGAGGAGGCUACUCUAGUUAAUACCUAGGGAUAGUGGACGUUACUCGCAGAAUAAGCACCGGCUAACUCUGUGCCAGCAGCCGCCGUAA